rnacentral:lncRNA from 1 species
CCAGAUGCGUACGACCGCAUCCGCAUCCGCAUCCGCAUCCGUCAGAACUCAGAAGGCCGGGCGCUCGGAAAGGCGCCUGCAGGCUGCAGCUGCACUGCACCCUGCGCUGCACGCGUGCGUGGAACAGUCGCUGACCCACACGCUUGCGGACGCAGCAGAGCUGGCCGGCCUGCGGGAAUGGCGAGCCAGGUCGGGGUCGGAACGGAUCGGCGCGGUGGUGGGGGUAGGUCGACG